CGAGACCGAUAGCAGACAGUACCGUGAGGGAAAGCUGAAAAGUACUCUGAAGAGAGGGUUAAUAGGACGUGAAACCACUAGAAGCUCUAAACGGGUGGAACCGUAAUCGGCGAAAGAGGGGAUUCAGCCGGUUGGUCUUGAGUGGCGAGGUGUAGUUGACUUGGCAUUAAUGUCACUUGCCAUGGCUCUGCACGUCGUCAACUCGAGGCCGGCCGGUUUACUUCUCCCUCUAGUAGCCCUCGUCGCGAGCCGCUGGGCGGACUCUGACGCUGCACCGGAUUGGUAGCCUGCCAUGCACUAGCGCAGGCGAUGACCGGUAGUCAUAGCAGUGUAGGGUUUGGCCGGCGGUCUCUCAGGGAGGCCACGCAAGUGGCCUCUCGCGAUGAGAACCGAUCUUGGUAAUCCACCUGACCCGUCUUGAAACACGGACCAAGGAGUCCAACAAUGGCGCGAGUCUAAGGGUUUUGAUUAGACCUGGAGGCGAAAUGAAAGUGAGUCCCCUUCUGGGGGCAGGCCGAUCCCCUGUCGGCUCAGAGCCCUGUCGUCGUUCUGGCUUCUUCAGCAAGUAGUUAGAACCGGCCGGCGGGUGCUCUGGACGAUGGCCGGUCCUUCGAAAGGGGGGCCGGAGAUGGGGCGCAGGCCGAGGACUUGCCAUUGUCUUGUGGUGCGGGCAACGGGAUUCCACCCACAGCUGGGUAGUUUCCUUAUCCCGAUUUCCACCGGCAAGUACCUGAGAGCGCCAACGUUGGGACCCGAAAGAUGGUGAACUAUGCCUGGCGAGGACGAAGCCAGAGGAAACUCUGGUGGAGGUCCGAAGCAGUUCUGACGUGCAAAUCGAUUGUCAGAGCUAGGUAUAGGGGCGAAAGACUAAUCGAACCAUCUAGUAGCUGGUUCCCUCCGAAGUUUCCCUCAGGAUAGCUGGCAUUCAUGAUGAUGAGUUUCAUCCGGUAAAGCGAAUGAUUAGAGGCCUUGGUGGUGCAAUGCCGUCAACCUAUUCUCAAACUUUAAAUGGGUGAGAUGUAGAGCUUGCUUAAUUGAAGCUCUAUGAUUCAGAAUCAGAAUGUC
rnacentral:rRNA from 1 species